rnacentral:misc_RNA from 1 species
CCUGGCCUUGGGCCGCUCGCGGGAGCUCGUCGCUUGCGAUGAUGCUGCUGGGGGUGCUUAGCCCUUGAUUAUCACCUUGAUUAUGUGUACCUUUGUUGUUUCCUCGGCAGGUCCCCUGCCGCCAGGAACUCUAUAAACCCUUUUGUAUUAGUAUGAAACCUGAAAUAAACUAAAUUAUUUA